GCCCGGCUAGCUCAAUCGGUAGAGCGUGAGACUCUUAUGAGUUACACAUUCUGUAUUACAAUCUCAAGGUUGCGGGUUCGACCCCCGCGUUGGGCU
rnacentral:tRNA from 2 species